rnacentral:rRNA from 1 species
UACGUAGGGUGCGAGCGUUAAUCGGAAUUACUGGGCGUAAAGCGUGCGCAGGCGGUUCUCCAAGUCCGUUGCGAAAGCCCCGGGCUCAACCUGGGAAUGGCAGUGGAAACUAGGGGACUGGAAUCUGGCAGAGGGGGGUGGAAUGCCGCGUGUAGCAGUGAAAUGCGUAGAGAUGCGGCGGAACACCGAUGGCGAAGGCAGCCCCCUGGGCUGAGAUUGACGCUCAGGCACGAAAGCGUGGGGAGCAAACAGG